AUUGAACGCUGGCGGCAUGCUUUACACAUGCAAGUCGAACGGCAGCGCGGGGCAACCUGGCGGCGAGUGGCGAACGGGUGAGUAAUACAUCGGAACGUACCCAGAAGUGGGGGAUAACGUAGCGAAAGUUACGCUAAUACCGCAUACGACCUAAGGGUGAAAGUGGGGGACCGCAAGGCCUCAUGCUUUUGGAGCGGCCGAUGUCUGAUUAGCUAGUUGGUGAGGUAAAGGCUCACCAAGGCGACGAUCAGUAGCUGGUCUGAGAGGACGACCAGCCACACUGGGACUGAGACACGGCCCAGACUCCUACGGGAGGCAGCAGUGGGGAAUUUUGGACAAUGGGGGCAACCCUGAUCCAGCAAUGCCGCGUGAGUGAAGAAGGCCUCGGUUGUAAGCUCUUUGUCAGGGAGAACGAUAUCCUCUAAUACAGGUGUAAUGACGGUACCUGAAGAAUAAGCACCGGCUAACUACGUAGCCAGCAGCCGCGGUAAU
rnacentral:rRNA from 1 species